CUCUUAAUAUAUAUAUGAAUGGCAUCUUUGCUUAAGCUCCUUCAAUUAUUGCUUUCGAAUAUUCUCAUGGUAUUGCUCUUUGUUUUUGAGGAUCCAAUUAAUAAGCAAAUCAUGGAGACUUGGCUGUUGACCUCAACACUCUCGUCUGCAUUGACCGAAGCAUUGACCUCUUCAAUCUCUUGGAUGUGAACCAGGCCUGGAAUAUUGGGUGUUCUUGUUUUUGAUACAUGUAAAGAGGUUUGGGCCAAUUUUGAUGCCUUUGUGAAUCCCUCCAUCUGGGCUUAUCAAAAGAGGAGGAGAAAAGGAGCGUGUGCUCUAAGUCCGCCCAAAGUUUCAUCAAUAAGGUCCACAGAGAGGGAGAGCUACAUCCUGCGUUUUCUUGAGAUUUCUGCGAGGUUUUUGUUCGAAUAAGCAACAAGAUGCACGAUAUUGUUGAAGGGCAAAUCCUUCCAUGCGUGUCCAAAAUUCGAAGUCAUUUUCAAUUCAAGGUCCACGAUAUAUUUUUUAUAAUAUAAUAAUGCUAGAAUUACGCUC